ACCCUAGUGGCUUAGAUGGUAAAGAAUCUGCCUGCAAUGCAGGAGACCUGGGUUCAAUCCCUGGGUUGGGAA
rnacentral:tRNA from 1 species